GAUGAAGAACGCAGUGAAAUGCGAUAAGUAGUGUGAAUUGCAGAAUUCAGUGAAUCAUCGAAUCUUUGAACGCACAUUGCGCCCUUUGGUAUUCCUUAGGGCAUGCCUGUUCGUGCGUCAUUUAAACCUUCAAGCUAAGCUUGGUGUUGGGUGACUGUCCGCUUCACGGCGGACUCGCCUCAAAAUUAUUGGCGGCCGGUACAUUGGCUUCGAGCGCAGCAGAAACGCGAACUCGGGCCCGUCGUAUUGGCUCCCAGAAGCUAUCUUCACAAUUUUGACCUCGGAUCAGGUAGGGAUACCCGCUGAACUUAAGCAUAUCAAUAAGCGGAGGA
rnacentral:misc_RNA from 1 species